rnacentral:rRNA from 1 species
GACGAACGCUGGCGGCGUGCUUAACACAUGCAAGUCGAACGCUGAAGCUCAGCUUGCUGGGUGGAUGAGUGGCGAACGGGUGAGUAACACGUGAGUAACCUGCCCUCUUCUUUGGGAUAACGCCCGGAAACGGGUGCUAAUACUGGAUAUUCACUGAUUCUCUCAUGGGGGUUGGUGGAAAGGUUUUUUCUGGUGGGGGAUGGGGUCGCGGCCUAUCAGCUUGUUGGUGGGGUGAUGGCCUACCAAGGCUUUGACGGGUAGCCGGCCUGAGAGGGUGACCGGUCACAGUGAGAGUGAGAUACGGGCCAGACUCAUACGGGAGGCAGCAGUGGGGAAUAUUGCACAAUGGGCGAAAGCCUGAUGCAGCGGCGUCGCGUGAGGGAUGGAGGCCUGCGGGUUGGAAACCUCUUUCGCUCAUGGUCAAGCCGCAGCUUGGGGUUGUGGUGAGGGUAGUGGGUAAAGAAGCGCCGGCUAACUACGUG